GGGGACGUUUUGGAUUCGACAGGGAUAGGUCGAGCUUGAGUUGCGAGUCGAGGGGAUCGUCCUCGUAAAAAACGUCAAAGCCAAUAAUAACUGGCAAAUCUAACGAUAACCUCGCUUUAGCUGCCUAAUAAGGCCUAACGCGGAUCCUCCCUCCAUCGCCCAUGUGGUAGGGUAAGGGUCUCACUUUCAGUGGGCUACGCCGGACGUCCUCCGCCUGGGGACUAUGGAAGAGACUAAUCAGGCUAGCACUUUGGAAGCCUGUCGAUAGGCCGAAGAAGAUGCGAAGCGCUAAUAUAUCGACUAUAUUCGUAGAAGCUUGAGUGACGAUAUUCUUGGACGUGGGUUCGAUUCCCACCGUCUCCACU
rnacentral:tmRNA from 1 species